rnacentral:rRNA from 1 species
UACGUAGGGUGCAAGCGUUGUCCGGAAUUAUUGGGCGUAAAGAGCUCGUAGGCGGUUCGUCGCGUCGGCUGUGAAAACCUGAGGCUCAACCUCAGGCCUGCAGUCGAUACGGGCGGACUUGAGUACUGCAGGGGAGACUGGAAUUCCUGGUGUAGCGGUGAAAUGCGCAGAUAUCAGGAGGGACACCGUGGCGAAGGCGGGUCUCGUGGGCAG